GAUGAACGCUGGCGGCGUGCCUAAUACAUGCAAGUAGAACGCUGAAGGAGGAGCUUGCUCUUCUGGAUGAGUUGCGAACGGGUGAGUAACGCGUAGGUAACCUGCCUGGUAGCGGGGGAUAACUAUUGGAAACGAUAGCUAAUACCGCAUGACAACAGUUAUUGCAUGAUAACUGUUUAAAAGGGGCAACUGCUCCACUACCAGAUGGACCUGCGUUGUAUUAGCUAGUUGGUGAGGUAACGGCUCACCAAGGCGACGAUACAUAGCCGACCUGAGGGGGUGAUCGGCCACACUGGGACUGAGACACGGCCCAGACUCCUACGGGAGGCAGCAGUAGGGAAUCUUCGGCAAUGGACGGAAGUCUGACCGAGCAACGCCGCGUGAGUGAAGAAGGUUUUCGGAUCGUAAAGCUCUGUUGUAAGAGAAGAACGAGUGUGAGAGUGGAAAGUUCACACUGUGACGGUAUCUUACCAGAAAGGGACGGCUAACUACGUG
rnacentral:rRNA from 1 species